GACAGAGGGUGCAAACGUUGUUCGGAAUUACUGGGCGUAAAGCGCGUGUAGGCGGCUAUGUAAGUCGGGCGUGAAAUCCCACGGCUCAACCGUGGAAGUGCACCCGAAACUGCGUAGCUAGAGUCCUGGAGAGGAAGGUGGAAUGCUUGGUGUAGAGGUGAAAUUCGUAGAUAUCAAGCGGAACACCGGUGGCGAAGGCGGCCUUCUGGACAGUGAUUGACGCUGAGACGCGAAAGCGUGGGGAGCAAACAGG
rnacentral:rRNA from 1 species